UUUCUCAAACCCAUUAAACAUAAUGAUCGGACGUCAUCUCCCAAUUUUGAAUUCCCUGUAUUUGAAGCGGACGAAGAUGAUGUUGAAGGGAUUCCUGACGAGAUUUCCCGACUUCUUGAGCAAGAAAAGAAGAUCACUCAGCUGCAUCUCGAGAAUCAGCAGAACAACCAACUGGGGCACAUAAAAAAAAGAAGAAAAAAAAGAGAAAAAAGAAAGAGGAGGGUGCAAAAUCAAAAGAAACCCAAAUCAAAAGAAAGAAAAAGAAAGAAAGAAACAAAAGGAAAAUAGCACCCUCAAAGUCCCAAGUUGACUGAUGCUGAAUGGAUUCAGA
rnacentral:lncRNA from 1 species